rnacentral:misc_RNA from 1 species
GUAGGUGAACCUGCGGAAGGAUCAUUAAUGAAUUUUAGGACGUUCUUUUUAGAAGUCCGACCCUUUCAUUUUCUUACACUGUGCACACACUUCUUUUUACACACACUUUUAACACAUUAGUAUAAGAAUGCAAUAGUCUCUUAAUUGAGCAUAAACAAAAAUAAAACUUUCAGCAACGGAUCUCUUGGCUCUCGCAUCGAUGAAGAACGCAGCAUCUGACUGACUAAGAUUCGGCGCAUCUCGUAUGCCG